UACGUAGGGUGCAAGCGUUGUCCGGAAUUAUUGGGCGUAAAGAGCUCGUAGGCGGUCUGUCGCGUCGGAUGUGAAAAUCCAGGGCUCAACCCGUGGACCUGCAUUCGAUACGGGCAGACUAGAGUUCGGUAGGGGAGACUGGAAUUCUGGUGUAGCGGUGAAAUGCGCAGAUAUCAGGAGGAACACCGGUGGCGAAGGCGGGUCUCUGGGCCGAUACUGACGCUGAGGAGCGAAAGCGUGGGGAGCGAACAGG
rnacentral:rRNA from 1 species